GNCAAGAUAAAACUCCAAGGAAUUGACGGGGACCCGCACAAGCGGUGGAGCAUGUGGUUUAAUUCGAUGCAACGCGAAAAACCUUACCACUCCUUGACAUGGAAAUUAUACCUAUUCGAAGGGAUAGGGUCGGUUCGGCCGGGUUUCACACAGGUGUUGCAUGGCUGUCGUCAGCUCGUGUCGUGAGAUGUUGGGUUAAGUCCCGCAACGAGCGCAACCCUCAUCCUUAGUUACCAUCAGGUAAUGCUGGGGACUUUAAGGAGACUGCCAGUGAUAAACUGGAGGAAGGUGGGGAUGAUGUCAAGUCAUCAUGGCCCUUAUGGAGUGGGCUACACACGUGCUACAAUGGUGGCUACAAUGGGCUGCAAAGUCGCGAGGCUAAGCCAAUCCCUUAAAAGCCAUCUCAGUUCGGAUUGUACUCUGCAACUCGAGUGCAUGAAGUUGGAAUCGCUAGUAAUCGUGGAUCAGCACGCCACGGUGAAUACGUUCUCGGGUCUUGUACACACUGCCCGUCACGCCAUGGGAAUUGGUUUCACUCGAAGCUAACGACCUAACCGCAAGGAGGGAGUUAUUUAAAGUGGGAUCGGUGACUGGGGUG
rnacentral:rRNA from 1 species